AACGAACGCUGGCGGCAUGCCUAACACAUGCAAGUCGAACGAGACCUUCGGGUCUAGUGGCGCACGGGUGCGUAACGCGUGGGAACCUGCCCUUAGGUUCGGAAUAACUCCCCGAAAGGGGUGCUAAUACCGGAUAAUGUCUUCGGACCAAAGAUUUAUCGCCUUUGGAUGGGCCCGCGUUGGAUUAGCUAGUUGGUAGGGUAAAAGCCUACCAAGUCGACGAUCCAUAGCUGGUCUGAGAGGAUGAUCAGCCACACUGGGACUGAGACACGGCCCAGACUCCUAGGGGAGGCAGCAGUGGGGAAUAUUGGAGAGUGGGCGAAAGGCUGAUCCAGCAAUGCCGCGUGAGUGAUGAAGGCCUUAGGGUUGUAAAGCUCUUUUACCCGGGAUGAUAAUGACAGUACCGGGAGAAUAAGCUCCGGCUAACUCCGUG
rnacentral:rRNA from 1 species